GCGGGAAUAGCUCAGUUGGUAGAGCACGACCUUGCCAAGGUCGGGGUCGCGAGUUCGUGUCUCGUUUCCCGCUCCA
rnacentral:tRNA from 1 species